UCUCUGGUUGUUCAGUGGUUAGGACUCAGCGCUUUCACUGCUGGGGCCCAGGUUCAAUCUCUGGUCGGGGAA
rnacentral:tRNA from 1 species